rnacentral:rRNA from 1 species
CCCUUAGAUAUCUUGGACAGCACGCGUAAUACAAUGUUCACAACAACGAGUCAACACGUCUGUUCUGUUACUUGUAAUAGUCAGGCAACCUUAUCUGAGGAGAUUGGGAAAACUGUGACAAUUGUGAACUUGACAGGGAUUGCGCCUUGUAAAUGGCGCAUGAACGAGGAAUACCUAGUAAGCGUGACUCAUCAAAUCGCAUUGAUUACGUCCCUGCCCUUUGUACACACCGCCCGUCGCACCUACCGAUCGAAUGGUCCGGUGAAAUCUCCGGACUGGCGUGAGUCGGAGCAAUCUGACAAACGCCGGAAAGUUGAUUAAACCUUACCAUUUAGAGGAAGGUGAAGUCGUAACA